rnacentral:rRNA from 1 species
GAUGAACGCUGGCUACAGGCUUAACACAUGCAAGUCGAGGGGAAACGACGGGGAAGCUUGCUUCCCCGGGCGUCGACCGGCGCACGGGUGAGUAACGCGUAUCCAACCUGCCUCUGACUGAGGGAUAACCCGUCGAAAGUCGGCCUAAUACCUCAUGGCAUCGUCUGCGGGCAUCCAACGACGAUUAAAGAUUUCAUCGGUCAGGGAUGGGGAUGCGUCUGAUUAGCUUGUUGGCGGGGUAACGGCCCACCAAGGCGACGAUCAGUAGGGGUUCUGAGAGGAAGGUCCCCCACAUUGGAACUGAGACACGGUCCAAACUCCUACGGGAGGCAGCAGUGAGGAAUAUUGGUCAAUGGGCGAGAGCCUGAACCAGCCAAGUAGCGUGCAGGAAGACGGCCCUAUGGGUUGUAAACUGCUUUUAUGCGGGGAUAAAGUGAGGGACGUGUCCUUCAUUGCAGGUACCGCAUGAAUAAGGACCGGCUAAUUCCGUGCCAGCAGCCGCGGUAAUACGGAAGGUCCGGGCGUUAUCCGGAUUUAUUGGGUUUAAAGGGAGCGUAGGCCGUGGAUUAAGCGUGUUGUGAAAUGCAGGUGCUCAACGUCUGCACUGCAGCGCGAACUGGUCCACUAGAGUGUGCGCAACGCAGGCGGAAUUCGUCGUGUAGCGGUGAAAUGCUUAGAUAUGACGAAGAACUCCGAUUGCGAAGGCAGCUUGCGGGAGCACAACUGACGCUGAAGUUCGAAAGUGCGGGUAUCGAACAGG